rnacentral:rRNA from 1 species
AGCGUACACGGUGGAUGCCCUGGCAGUCAGAGGCGAUGAAGGACGUGCUAAUCUGCGAUAAGCGUCGGUGAGGUGAUAUGAACCGUUAUAACCGGCGAUUUCCGAAUGGGGAAACCCAGUGUGUUUCGACACACUAUCAUUAACUGAAUCCAUAGGUUAAUGAGGCGAACCGGGGGAACUGAAACAUCUAAGUACCCCGAGGAAAAGAAAUCAACCGAGAUUCCCCCAGUAGCGGCGAGCGAACGGGGAGGAGCCCAGAGCCUGAAUCAGUGUGUGUGUUAGUGGAAGCGUCUGGAAAGGCGCGCGAUACAGGGUGACAGCCCCGUACACAAAAAUGCACAUAUUGUGAGCUCGAUGAGUAGGGCGGGACACGUGGUAUCCUGUCUGAAUAUGGGGGGACCAUCCUCCAAGGCUAAAUACUCCUGACUGACCGAUAGUGAACCAGUACCGUGAGGGAAAGGCGAAAAGAACCCCGGCGAGGGGAGUGAAAAAGAACCUGAAACCGUGUACGUACAAGCAGUGGGAGCCUCUUAAUGGGGUGACUGCGUACCUUUUGUAUAAUGGGUCAGCGACUUAUAUUCUGUAGCAAGGUUAACCGAAUAGGGGAGCCGAAGGGAAACCGAGUCUUAACUGGGCGCUAAGUUGCAGGGUAUAGACCCGAAACCCGGUGAUCUAGCCAUGGGCAGGUUGAAGGUUGGGUAACACUAACUGGAGGACCGAACCGACUAAUGUUGAAAAAUUAGCGGAUGACUUGUGGCUGGGGGUGAAAGGCCAAUCAAACCGGGAGAUAGCUGGUUCUCCCCGAAAGCUAUUUAGGUAGCGCCUCGUGAAUUCAUCUCCGGGGGUAGAGCACUGUUUCGGCAAGGGGGUCAUCCCGACUUACCAACCCGAUGCAAACUGCGAAUACCGGAGAAUGUUAUCACGGGAGACACACGGCGGGUGCUAACGUCCGUCGUGAAGAGGGAAACAACCCAGACCGCCAGCUAAGGUCCCAAAGUCAUGGUUAAGUGGGAAACGAUGUGGGAAGGCCCAGACAGCCAGGAUGUUGGCUUAGAAGCAGCCAUCAUUUAAAGAAAGCGUAAUAGCUCACUGGUCGAGUCGGCCUGCGCGGAAGAUGUAACGGGGCUAAACCAUGCACCGAAGCUGCGGCAGCGACACUAUGUGUUGUUGGGUAGGGGAGCGUUCUGUAAGCCUGUGAAGGUGGCCUGUGAGGGUUGCUGGAGGUAUCAGAAGUGCGAAUGCUGACAUAAGUAACGAUAAAGCGGGUGAAAAGCCCGCUCGCCGGAAGACCAAGGGUUCCUGUCCAACGUUAAUCGGGGCAGGGUGAGUCGACCCCUAAGGCGAGGCCGAAAGGCGUAGUCGAUGGGAAACAGGUUAAUAUUCCUGUACUUGGUGUUACUGCGAAGGGGGGACGGAGAAGGCUAUGUUGGCCGGGCGACGGUUGUCCCGGUUUAAGCGUGUAGGCUGGUUUUCCAGGCAAAUCCGGAAAACCAAGGCUGAGGCGUGAUGACGAGGCACUACGGUGCUGAAGCGACAAAUGCCCUGCUUCCAGGAAAAGCCUCUAAGCAUCAGGUAACAUCAAAUCGUACCCCAAACCGACACAGGUGGUCAGGUAGAGAAUACCAAGGCGCUUGAGAGAACUCGGGUGAAGGAACUAGGCAAAAUGGUGCCGUAACUUCGGGAGAAGGCACGCUGAUAUGUAGGUGAAGCGACUUGCUCGUGGAGCUGAAAUCAGUCGAAGAUACCAGCUGGCUGCAACUGUUUAUUAAAAACACAGCACUGUGCAAACACGAAAGUGGACGUAUACGGUGUGACGCCUGCCCGGUGCCGGAAGGUUAAUUGAUGGGGUUAGCGGUAACGCGAAGCUCUUGAUCGAAGCCCCGGUAAACGGCGGCCGUAACUAUAACGGUCCUAAGGUAGCGAAAUUCCUUGUCGGGUAAGUUCCGACCUGCACGAAUGGCGUAAUGAUGGCCAGGCUGUCUCCACCCGAGACUCAGUGAAAUUGAACUCGCUGUGAAGAUGCAGUGUACCCGCGGCAAGACGGAAAGACCCCGUGAACCUUUACUAUAGCUUGACACUGAACAUUGAGCCUUGAUGUGUAGGAUAGGUGGGAGGCUUUGAAGUGUGGACGCCAGUCUGCAUGGAGCCGACCUUGAAAUACCACCCUUUAAUGUUUGAUGUUCUAACGUUGGCCCCUAAUCGGGGUUGCGGACAGUGUCUGGUGGGUAGUUUGACUGGGGCGGUCUCCUCCUAAAGAGUAACGGAGGAGCACGAAGGUUGGCUAAUCCUGGUCGGACAUCAGGAGGUUAGUGCAAUGGCAUAAGCCAGCUUGACUGCGAGCGUGACGGCGCGAGCAGGUGCGAAAGCAGGUCAUAGUGAUCCGGUGGUUCUGAAUGGAAGGGCCAUCGCUCAACGGAUAAAAGGUACUCCGGGGAUAACAGGCUGAUACCGCCCAAGAGUUCAUAUCGACGGCGGUGUUUGGCACCUCGAUGUCGGCUCAUCACAUCCUGGGGCUGAAGUAGGUCCCAAGGGUAUGGCUGUUCGCCAUUUAAAGUGGUACGCGAGCUGGGUUUAGAACGUCGUGAGACAGUUCGGUCCCUAUCUGCCGUGGGCGCUGGAGAACUGAGGGGGGCUGCUCCUAGUACGAGAGGACCGGAGUGGACGCAUCACUGGUGUUCGGGUUGUCAUGCCAAUGGCACUGCCCGGUAGCUAAAUGCGGAAGAGAUAAGUGCUGAAAGCAUCUAAGCACGAAACUUGCCCCGAGAUGAGUUCU